rnacentral:rRNA from 1 species
GACGAACGCUGGCGGCGUGCUUAACACAUGCAAGUCGAGCGGAAUGGCGAACGGGUGGGUAACACAUGGGUGACCUGCCCUGCACUUCGGGAUAAGCCUGGGAAACUGGGGCUAAUACCGGAUAGUGUGGGAUGGGCCCGCGGCCUAUGGGCUUGUUGGGGGGGUAAUGGCCGACCAAGGCUGCGCCUGGUAGCCGGCCUGGGAGGGUGGACGGCCACAUGGCGACUGAGACACGGCCCAGACGCCUACGGGAGGCAGCGGGGGGGAAUAUUGCACAAUGGGCGGAAGCCUGAUGCAGCGACGCCGGGUGGGGGAUGACGGCUUUCGGGUUGUAAACUCCUUUCACCAUCGACGCGGUAGAUGGAGAAGAAGCACCGGCUAACUACGUGCCAGCAGCCGCGGUAAUUC